GGAACCUGGUUGAUCCUGCCAGUAGCAUACGCUUGUCUCAAAGAUUAAGCCAUGCAUGUCUAAGUAUAAACGAAUUUGUACUGUGAAACUGCGAAUGGCUCAUUAUAUCAGUUAUAGUUUCUUUGAUGGUCCUUGCUACUUGGAUAACCGUAGUAAUUCUAGAGCUAAUACAUGCAUAAAGCCCCGAUGACUUG
rnacentral:rRNA from 1 species